UACGUAGGGGGCAAGCGUUGUCCGGAAUCAUUGGGCGUAAAGCGCGUGUAGGCGGCUGGGGUAAGUCCGCUCUGAAAAGCCCGGGGCUCAACCCCCGGGAGGCGGGUGGAUACUGCUCAGCUCGAGUCCGGAAGAGGAGUGUGGAAUUCCUGGUGUAGCGGUGAAAUGCGCAGAUAUCAGGAGGAACACCAAUGGGCGAAGGCAGGUCUCUGGGCCGAUACUGACGCUGAGGAGCGAAAGCGUGGGGAGCGAACAGG
rnacentral:rRNA from 1 species